rnacentral:lncRNA from 1 species
UCGAAUAUAUGGUUCUAUCAAAGGAUCGUGGGGUACAUAUUCAUGUACACGACAUCGAAAUCGUUUUGGAUCCUAAUAAAACAUAAGUAAGAAAUAAAAUAAGAAGAAGUAAUAUACAAUAAAAACAUAAAUAAGAAAUAAAUAUGAAAUAAGUAAGAAGAAAUAAUAACAUACAAAUGUCGAGAUAUUGUCGAUUGUUCCUCG